UUUGGGGAGGAGGUAUAAAAGAGGAGCUGAGACGUCCCAAGGGCAGAGCUGGCAUGACUGUGAACUGUGAUGUUUGAUGUGUGUGUUGGCUCUCCUGUGCAGUAAUAAAUAGCUUGAUCACAGCUCUUUCCGUGUUGCAGACUUUAUUUACAAAAUUCCACGACAAGCUUGACGUCAUGACCAGGAUGCUCGGAGUGUGGGCGCUGAGGAAUGACCCCAAAGACGGCUGAUCACCCAGAGGGAAAAAGUCAAUCCUUGGUCCCACCAAAGCAUCAAAAAGGGGGAGUUGUGGGGGGAGUCCUCAGCAACACACCGAGAUCAUCCAAAAGAACUAGAGGAGAAUCUGCACCGAAAGCUAAAGCUGACCUGGACUCCUGCUCUCUCCUCUACCCUCUUCGACGUGACCCUGACCCACCGCUGCAGCAGCUGGACCCACCACAACAACCUGAAAACGCCAACGGAGCUGCAGGAGGGGGACCUCAUCCAAAGGAGAUGGAGGGCACUAGACCCAAGGCCUCCUCUCACUACAGGGGAGGAGAUCCCCAGACAGGCCUUAGCUGACAGAGCUGUGAUGUCUCGCCCCAAAAGAGAGGCAGAGCAACAGAAUGCUGACCUCUACAGUCGCUGCAUUAACACUGUACAAGGCCGUGGCAAAUCAGCACGAAGGAUUGGGCAGCAGAGAAAAAGGGCGUGGCAGAGGUAGAAGGAGCAAUCGAGGUCAUAAGCAACCUCAAAAUGGACAAAACACAGACCAAGACGUAUGUUUCACCUGCACCCAGAAUGGAUACUGGAGAAAGGACUGCCCCAAUCGGGGUCAGAACCAGGGUGGACAGCGCAGUGAUCAGCAGCAGUGGCUGCAAGCAGACUGAAGAGGAGGAGGGCAGCACCCCAGCGGACGCUUCAGGCCAUGGUUUGCCCAAAACAACAGAACAGGAAAGUGAUGACACACACACACACACACACACACACACACACACACACACACACACACGCUGAUUCAGUACGAAGUAAUGCACACACAAACACAAACCUAUACACACACAUGCUGAUACAGUGAGGAGUGAUACAAGAGCCACACACAAACGGAUGCACACACACAUGCUGACGCAAUGAAGAAUGCUUUGCUAACAAGUGCUCAUGUUGAUACAAAAAAAAAGUGUUACACACACACACACACAUACUGUUGCAAGACGCCAUUGAACACUUAGAACGCAUUCCCUCAAGUUGCAUUUCAUGCCAUCCAGAGGGCACAUAUGUACAUUUAACAAAAUAUGUACAUUUAAAUCUCUGCCUAUGUAUACAUUGUCUGUGUGUGGUGAGAAUGUGGAAUUUCCUGUAGACUCCGGAGCCACUCUGUGUUACGCUCUCACCCUCCCUGAAAUUCCAGCCAACAUUAGAAGGUACUCCCACUCUGUCUCUACAACAGGGCAUGUUCAAAGGGCGAUUUUCACAGUUCCCCUGUCCUGUAUUGACGGACAGGGCCAAAAGUUAAAACAUAAUUUUCUAUGGUCAGACUCAUGUCCAAUAAAUUUACUUAAUGUGUAAAUUAAACAUAAAUUUGAUCUCCUGCCAUGAUGGCCUUACAAUCACACAGUCAGAAUGUGACUAUGCAAUGGUGAAAUACAGCCCUGUGACCCCUGCCUUCGAAUAUGAAUGGAGGCUGCAGGCAGGGCUGCUCACUGAAAGUUAUCUUUUUACAAACAGCACGUGACUGCAUGCCUCCAGAUGCCUGUUUUGGCUGCUGACGGCCUGCACUGCACUUCUCACUGUGCUUCGCAGGGCCCUGAUGAGAGACAUGAGGGGAAGUGGUACAGAAUUGAAAAUGAUAAACUAACAGUGAAAUGCUUAUUUUAGAGCUUUACAUUUGCUGUGCUUGCCAUUUCACUCACUAAAGAACAAAAGUUGUUUAUAAUGGAUGCAUCCACCCCACACAUUUGCCUUGCCAGGCCCACUGACUGCAGGUGGGAAGACCUGGGCAGUUUUGUGCACAAUUGUAAAAAAAGAAUCAUUCUAAGAAAUCAUCAAAAGCCCAAAAUUACCAUGACAUUCAUGCUCAUGACGAGAGGAUAAAAACUGCAGUGCUGGAGAACUGUGGUAACUUAAUCUUAGAAUUUCUGAAAUUCUUCAAUAUAAGAUUAUGAAAAAAAGCCCCCAAAAAUAGCACAGACAAGAUGGACAGAGCAUUUUUUUCUUUAGAUUUUAACAUCAAAUAAGAACUUGUGAACCUUGAGAGUGAGAAAUAAUGAGACAACUUCUGCAACAAAUUUUCUGCAGCAUUAAAUUGGAUGAAAGAAGUUUAUUCUGGUUUCUUACAUGUGAUCAACUCAAAUCCUUACAAUUCCUCUUCAUGUUUGUGAGAAGACGAUCACAUGAUUAUCAACACAUUUUAAGAAAUUCUUUUGAACAAGUAGUUAAGAAGACAACACAACAGUUUCAAACUGGAAUCAACUGCUGAGUCUUCCCCUAAACACUACCAGCCUCAAGGUGUACAGGUAGAAUCUUAUUCUCGGAUUUGUCUUUUUCACAUUUUAUCUUGUUAAGAGAUUUUGUUUAAUGUUUUAUUAAAUAACAUGCUUUCCCUAAAUAGGUUUGCGAAUGUACAAUGAUGUUCAUAUAUUUUAUACUACAUGUAUCUUGUCACUACACAUGCACGUGAGCCUUGCUGACUUCUAAAAAUGACUGGCAUAAGGAGGUUGCCACAGGAAACCUCACCUUUGCUGAGUCUGCCGUUGGGAACAGGAACCAACUGGCUUCUGUUCCCCUUAAGAUAGGCUUGACCAGUUCCUUACUGACAGUUGAACGUAUAUGUUUUAUGCUUGUGUAAGGAGUGGUAUGUUAUCUCUUCCUACAUGUGUCUGUGACGCAAACAUGCUUGAGUAUAAAUAAAGCUGACUCCAAAGCCUCGGGGUGAGUAUCGCCCGAUCACUCACCCGUGCGCACGUAGUUCUCUGAACAAAA